CGUCUAUAUACGUAUAGCAUAUCAAUAAGCGGAGGAAAAGAAACUAACAAGGAUUCCCUUAGUAACGGCGAGUGAAGCGGGAAGAGCUCAAAUUUGAAAUCUUCAAGGUUCUACCUUGACGAAUUGUAGUUUAUAGAAGUGUUUUCUGUUAGUAGAGUUUGGUAAAAGUUCUUUGGAAUAGGACAUCAUAGAGGGUGAGAAUCCCGUAUUUGGUCAUUCUCUCUAGCUUUGUGAUACACUUUCAACGAGUCGGAUUGUUUGGGAAUGCAGUCCAAAAUGGGUGGUAAAUUUCAUCUAAAGCUAAAUAUUGGCGAGAGACCGAUAGCGAACAAGUACCGUGAGGGAAAGAUGAAAAGAACUUUGAAAAGAGAGUUAAACAGUACGUGAAAUUGUCAAAAGGGAAGCGUUUGACACCAGUGUUGUUUUUCCGAAAAUCAAUUAAGAAUGGCCGGAUUUUAAGUUUCAUGACCUUAAAAGCUUGUUUCUUAUUUUUCUUGUCUUUCUUAAUGCACUUUUCGGUUAACAAGUCAACAUCAAUUUCUUUUGUUGUAAAAGGUUAAGAGGAAGGUGGCUUUACUUUCGGGUAAAGUGUUUAUAGCCUUUUAACUCUGCAAUCGGAGAGAUUGAGGUCUGCAGCGUAGAUCCUUCGGGGCUAGAUACGUUUGUGCUAAGUUAUAGCUUUUCAUAGACAACUUGUUGACUAUGUUUAGUCUUGUAGCUUACCCGCAUGCGCUAUUUUACCUACGCUUAGGAUGUUGAUAUGCAUGACUGAUAU
rnacentral:rRNA from 1 species